UGGGGAAUAUUGCACAAUGGAGGGAACUCUGAUGCAGCGACGCCGCGUGAGUGAUGAAGGAAUUCGUUUCGUAAAACUCUGUUCUAUGGGAAGAAAAGGACUGUACCAUAGGAGAAAGCUCCGGCUAAAUACGUGCCAGCAGCCGCGGUAAUACGUAUGGAGCGAGCGUUGUCCGGAAUUAUUGGGCGUAAAGGGUGCGCAGGCGGCUUUACAAGUUGGAUGUGAAAUAUUGUGGCUCAACCACAAACGUGCAUCCAAAACUGCAAAGCUUGAGUUAAGGAGAGGUAAGGGGAAUUCCUGGUGUAGCGGUGGAAUGCGUAGAGAUCAGGAGGAAUACCGGUGGCGAAGGCGACUUACUGGACUUAAACUGACGCUCAGGCACGAAAGCGUGGGGAGCAAACAGG
rnacentral:rRNA from 1 species